AAUUAGGUAUAAGAUGAGCCACGAGAGCAUAGAACUAUUCGUUAUGUUAGAUUUAAUGGGUUCAUUGAACAAUGAAUUAAGAAGAAAAAUCGUUCUUAUUGACUUUGAUAGUUCAGAUGAUGAAUUUGAUUAUGAAUUCAUCGAUCACUUACGGGGUAAUAGAGUAAAACCUUUUAGAGUGCAAGAUUUUAUGUCUCAGGCAAUUCCAAAUUUUACACACAAACAAUUUCAACAGUACUUUAGGUUGUCACCAACCUCGUUUGAAAGAUGUUUGCUUAUUUGUGCUCCCCUUCUACAGAAAACUUGUAUAGAAGGACGUAAAGGUUCGGACGAAAGGCUUCAACUAUUGUCAGUUAUUUGGUUACUGGCUACGCCAGAUAGUUUUCGAUCAGUUUCUGACAGAUUUGAUAUUGGUAAAAGUUCCCUGCAUGAAAGAUUUGGGUAUUGUUGAAUGCGAUCAACAAGUUUUAAUCAUCUCUUUGAGUUUAACUACAGAUACACGACGCUACUGUUGGAUGAUGCCAAGUCAUUUUCAAACUUUGCGAAAAUGAAGAAUGUUGAUGCUGCCGAUGUGAAAAUUACAAUACAAUUGGUGCAAGACGGAAUAUUUUGUCGACCUCCUCCGCGUGAUAUAAGUUCCUUUUGGUUAAAAUCAAUUGCAAUACCUAUUGCGAAAAUCAAUUUUUCAAAUUUUAUUAUAUGUUAAUGACAGCAAGUCGUGAAUUAAACAAAAUACCAUUAUCUCCAGUAAGGCCUGCCAGUGGACUGCAAAUUCCUCACUAGUGUUCAAAUUUCUUACAAACAAACUACAAGCUAAGGAAUGAUUUGAAAUACUACAGCACCACAACAAAGACAGCUUACACGUCAGCUGGUGUAAAAUGGCUGUAGCCUGCCUUGAUCAAUUCAAUGAGCUGGACAAUAAAACCAAAAAUAUUAAAAGUAUGGAAAUAAUGUUUCAUAAUUUUUAUUUGUACAUUUAUGACUUUACAAGCUACUCUUAAAUUAAAAAUUUUAUAUUUCUUUCAACUAUACUCAUAAGUAAUAGUAAUUAAUAGCUUGAAUUAAAGCAUCACUUUGUUUUUCCAGCUCAGUCUAUUUUUAUUAACAUAUUUAACAAAAUAUUCUCUAACAUUUAGCAUUUGAAGGAGCAUUUCCAACGCCCCUUCUCUUUUCUAUUCCUACAAUGUUGCAGUUUUCUAAAACUAUCUGUCUGUCGUAUCCAUCUCUCCGCCGAAUAAAGUUAUGUAAUAUACAUGCUGCUUUAGUAAUUUGAACUGCAAUAUUUGGAGAAGUCAAAAUUGGUGUAUGGAAUACUCACCAUUUGUUUGAAAGAAUUCCAAAUGUACAUUCAAUGUAACGUCUAGCCCUGGACAGUUGGUAAUUAAAAAUCCUCCUCUCACUGGUCAAGCUUUUCCCUGGAAAUGGUCUCAACAAAUGUUUAUUU